GCGGAGGGAUCAUUACCGAGUUUACAACUCCCAAACCCAAUGUGAACGUUACCAAACUGUUGCCUCGGCGGGAUCUCUGCCCCGGGUGCGUCGCAGCCCCGGACCAAGGCGCCCGCCGGAGGACCAACCAAAACUCUUAUUGUAUACCCCCUCGCGGGUUUUUUUAUAAUCUGAGCCUUCUCGGCGCCUCUCGUAGGCGUUUCGAAAAUGAAUCAAAACUUUCAACAACGGAUCUCUUGGUUCUGGCAUCGAUGAAGAACGCAGCGAAAUGCGAUAAGUAAUGUGAAUUGCAGAAUUCAGUGAAUCAUCGAAUCUUUGAACGCACAUUGCGCCCGCCAGUAUUCUGGCGGGCAUGCCUGUCCGAGCGUCAUUUCAACCCUCGAACCCCUCCGGGGGGUCGGCGUUGGGGAUCGGCCCUCCCUUAGCGGGUGGCCGUCUCCGAAAUACAGUGGCGGUCUCGCCGCAGCCUCUCCUGCGCAGUAGUUUGCACACUCGCAUCGGGAGCGCGGCGCGUCCACAGCCGUUAAACACCCAACUUCUGAAAUGUUGACCUCGGAUCAGGUA
rnacentral:misc_RNA from 1 species